UGUCUAAACAACUUUGAACUCCAUUUAAUGGUAUCUGAUUUGCUGAAUGAAAAACUUGCUGUUAGGUCACUAACUCUCUGUCAUCUGAUAAAGGAAGUUGCUAGCAUCUGAUGAAGUACCUGAUGAAGUAUCCCUCUCUCUGACUCAGUGACAACAAAAGGACAGAUUCUCUCAUCUUUACUCACAAUCUUGUACAUCUCAAGAACAAAAAAGCUGGAUUCAGUUCCUUUAUAUCAUUCUCCUAGUGUAGAAAAACAAGGUGCAUGAAGACUCAGAGUAGUAUCUAGAAGCUCAUUGUCCUGUUAUAUCACUGUCAUGCAUACCCUGGGCCUCUCUUGGAAUUCUGUGAAGCACUGUGCUCCAUGGGACUCAUGGGAAGCACAACUGCUUGGUGAAGAAUGAGAAUGUACAGUGACCCUUCAGGGCUAACUGACUUUGGAAAUAAUUUU